GGUGGUGCAUGGUUGUCGUCAGCUCGUGUCGUGAGAUGUUGGUUAAGUCCGCAACGAGCGCAACCCUUGUCUUUAGUUACCAUCAUUCAGUUGGGGGACUCUAAAGAGACUGCCGGUGACAAACCGGAGGAAGGUGGGGAUGACGUCAAAUCAUCAUGCCCCUUAUGACCUGGGCUACACACGUACUACAAUGGCGCAUACAACGGGAAGCGAAGUGGUGACAUGGAGCAAAUCUCAAAAAGUGCGUCUCAGUUCAGAUUGAAGUCUGCAACUCGACUUCAUGAAGUCGGAAUCGCUAGUAAUCGCGGAUCAGAAUGCCGCGGUGAAUACGUUCUCGGGCCUU
rnacentral:rRNA from 1 species